rnacentral:lncRNA from 1 species
AUGCAUUUCCAGGACGAGCCGCUCAUGCGCCUGUUGGGGAGCACAAGAAAAAGAGUUUCUCUGUUGUUGUGUUUUCUUUUUUUUUUUUUUACCAUUGAAUCUCUUUUGCCUUUUUUUUUUAUUGCUCUGAAAUGCUAUUUUCAGCAGCUGCUGUCAUAUAAAUAUCUCUUGUUUUUCUUCUCCUCUUUCCCUCCUGGUGAAAAGGGCAGGGGACCUAUUGAAAAUUCUGCUUUAUCUCUUUCAGGAGAGUUCAAGUGCGGGUCGAACAAUCGAUUCCUCCUCCUUUUCUUUUUUAAGUUUCCUGUCGUUCUUUUGCCCAGAUCAGCAUUGAAGGAAAAUAGGAAGGGCAGCCUGGAGUAUGUACAUCUAUACACCCAGAGACAGCAAGGGAGAGCACGCGAGUGUGUAUGAAAACCAACAGUAUCAUCACAACUCUAAAGAAAGAAUGUGUGUAAUUGGAUUGCUUAUUGGAAACACAGAAGACAGGCUGAGAAGACAGCGCAGCAGUUAAUUCUGCAAAACUUUGACAGAGGUUUCCAAGAAAGAUGCUCUUAUCUGAGGAGCUUCCUCUGGGGUUGGGGGCUCGAACUUUGUAACGGUGGAAACCCAAAUGUGUGCAGAUUGGGGCUAUUUUCCUGCGAUUCUGCAGAAGGAGCACGGAGACGCUGCCUGUCUGGAGUCCCAUAAAACAGAUCUUUUCCUUGUCAUUAAGAAUAUUGAUGUUCAUUAGGCCCGGGCGUCAAUGAGUCUUUGUGCAAAUGAAACGAAAUCUGAGUCAAAUUGUGACCCUGAGCCCAACACGUAACCGCAGAGUGGCUGCAGUCGGGGGGCUGGGGCCGAGAGGUUCCCCUAGCACCAAAACCUCACCACCCCUACCCCGAGACAAAAAAAAUCUCCGCAGCCACAGCGACAGAGCCAAGGGAACGGCCGUCCCCGCCCCCCCAAAUCAUCCUGCUCAUAACGUGGCUUCUGAUAAAGGUGGCACAGAUCAGGGCUACUUUUAGGAGUCUCUCGAGGCGAGCUCUCCGCAUGGAAGCAGAGUUUGCUCCCCGUCCCAGCCCUUGGCAGGGCAUUACCCUUCUGCAGGUAAAGCUCUUUCCUUUUCAUUUCCUCCCAGGGCUUCUCUCCCGCCGCCGCGGGUCUGAGGUUGAUGUUUCUGCUGUACAAACUCCGGGCUAAUAAAGAAAGCUCGAGUCCCGUAAUUCAUGGCGAGGCGCUUUGACGGAGCACUUUCAGUGUUAACAGUGUGACGGGCGCUUUUCGGAGCUAAUGUCUCACUGAUAUUAACGGCCAUGCCCACGGAGCAAAAUCUGCAAUGUAAAAGCGAGCGGCUUGCUAAAUAUUUACAGGCUCGCACAUCGCGCUGUCCCAUUCAUUUCCUUGACCUUUCAUGCAGGGGGAUGGGGAA